rnacentral:rRNA from 1 species
GACGAACGCUGGCGGCGUGCUUAACACAUGCAAGUCGAACGGAAAGGCCUUCUUUCCCUUGUGCGUUGCGGGUGCUCGAGUGGCUAACGGGUGAGUAACACGUGAGUGAUCUGCCCCCAACUUUGGUCUAAGCCUUGGAAACUGGGUCUAAUUCCCGAUACGACUGCAGGGUGUUGCUUGUCGUGGAAAACGAUUUUCUAGUGGUUGGGGAUGAGCUCGCGGCCGAUCAGCUUGUUGGUGGGGUAAUGGCCUACCAAGGCGGCGACGGGUAGCCGGACUGAGAAGGUGGACGGCCAGAGUGGGACUGAGAGACGACACAGAAUCCGAAGGGAGGCAGCAGUGGGGAAGAGAGGACAAUGGGGGGAAGACUGAAGAAGGGACGCAGCGGGGGGGAUGACGGGCUGCGGGAUGUAAACUGCUUUAGAACGCGAGGAAGCCAGCUGGUUGGAAGGGUGGUGACGGUAGUAGAAGAAGAAGCACCGGCUAACUACGUG